AGUGAACGCUGGCGGUAGGCCUAACACAUGCAAGUCGAACGGCAGCACAGUAAGAGCUUGCUCUUACGGGUGGCGAGUGGCGAACGGGUGAGGAAUACAUCGGAAUCUACUUUUUCGUGGGGGAUAACGUAGGGAAACUUGCGCUAAUACCGCAUACGACCUACGGGUGAAAGCAGGGGAUCUUCGGACCUUGCGCGAUUGAAUGAGCCGAUGUCGGAUUAGCUAGUUGGCGGGGUAAAGGCCCACCAAGGCGACGAUCCGUAGCUGGUCUGAGAGGAUGAUCAGCCACACUGGAACUGAGACACGGUCCAGACUCCUACGGGAGGCAGCAGUGGGGAAUAUUGGACAAUGGGCGCAAGCCUGAUCCAGCCAUACCGCGUGGGUGAAGAAGGCCUUCGGGUUGUAAAGCCCUUUUGUUGGGAAAGAAAAGCAGCAGGUUAAUACCCCGCUGUUCUGACGGUACCCAAAGAAUAAGCACCGGCUAACUUCGUG
rnacentral:rRNA from 1 species